AUUGAACGCUGGCGGCAGGCCUAACACAUGCAAGUCGAGCGGAUGAAGGGAGCUUGCUCCUGGAUUCAGCGGCGGACGGGUGAGUAAUGCCUAGGAAUCUGCCUGGUAGUGGGGGAUAACGUCCGGAAACGGGCGCUAAUACCGCCUACGUCCUGAGGGAGAAAGUGGGGGAUCUUCGGACCUCACGCUCUCAGAUGAGCCUAGGUCGGAUUAGCUAGUUGGUGGGGUAAAGGCCUACCAAGGCGACGAUCCGUAACUGGUCUGAGAGGAUGAUCAGUCACACUGGAACUGAGACACGGUCCAGACUCCUACGGGAGGCAGCAGUGGGGAAUAUUGGACAAUGGGCGAAAGCCUGAUCCAGCCAUGCCGCGUGUGUGAAGAAGGUCUUCGGAUUGUAAAGCACUUUAAGUUGGGAGGAAGGGCAGUAAGUUAAUACCUUGCUGUUUUGACGUUACCAACAGAAUAAGCACCGGCUAACUUCGUG
rnacentral:rRNA from 1 species